rnacentral:rRNA from 1 species
UACGAAGGGUGCAAGCGUUAUUCGGAAUUACUGGGCGUAAAGGGUGCGUAGGCGGUUCGUUAAGUCUGCUGUGAAAUCCCCGGGCUCAACCUGGGAAUGGCAAUGGAUACUGGCGAGCUAGAGUGUGAUAGAGGAUGGUGGAAUUCCCGGUGUAGCGGUGAAAUGCGUAGAGAUCGGGAGGAACAUCAGUGGCGAAGGCGGCCAUCUGGAUCAACACUGACGCUGAAGCACGAAAGCGUGGGGAGCAAACAGG